AUCCACCCUGUCGGAAAAAUUCAAAACAGAUGAAGUCGCAACAUUACCUUGACCCCAAAGAACCAUUUGCUUCUCGUUGGACAACUGCUUGCCAGCAGGCCUUUGAAGAAGUAAUCCAGAAGCUUAGUACAGCACCAGUUCUUGCAUUUGCAGACCCAGGUGGCUGAUCCUUUAUCCGUUAAGGAGAAAGAAAGAAUAUUGAAGUUUACUGAACAACAUCUGGAACAUCCAUCCUGUAUUUCCAUUGACCAGCACUCAGUCCAAGCAAUAUGUGACAGACAACUGGUGUACAGCUCACCCAACCUGGACCAGGUGAAAUUGCUGAUAAACAAAGAGCCGAUCCAGUCAUUCAGCACAUCAUCGCUCAGUUGGAACGAGGGGAAAACCCACCGCCAUUUCU